CCCACACUACACAUACAUGUGCUAGUCAAUGACAAAUCAGAAAUAACUAACUGCCCACCUGGGCUGUCCUAAGCCAAGCUUGAGCCACCAUUGGCACUUGUGAGGCACAGGAAGUGAGGUAGGGAACAGCCUCUGGAAUUUGCUCACUUCCUGUGGACAGAGCUAGGUGCCAGUUGGUGCUAGGAACUGGAGCAGAGAGGAGGCCCACAGACAGCUUUCCUUCAGAUCUGUCACUUCAAGUUGCAAUGAUCCUUUCUGCCCAGGAAUGCCAGUCAUGUAAACUCUCUGUCUGUGCUCAUUCUCAUGUCACAGUGUGCCAUCUCACACAUGUUGGGAGAAUUGUUCGACACGCCUGGAAGAAUAGAGAAAAAUACCCUCGAAGGCCAAGCUCACAUUUUAUGGCGUAAAAGAUCUUGACCUAAGCAUAUGUCUGUUUUUCCUCAGUCUCUGUGUUGGCUGACAGCAGGCAAGCCCAGACAGCAGGCCAGCAAGAACAAAAACAUGAAAAACAUGGUAAAAACAGUCCUACUGUGUUUGAGCAAGCAUUUGAACCAAUAAAAUAUUAAUUAAUAAGACAACAGUUGAAUUGAGGUGCAGAGAGAAGGGUUUCUGCUCCCAGACUCAGUUGGGCAGUAAAAUAUAUUACAUGUUUGUCUCAAAAGCAUAUAGCCUUUGGCUACAAAUCUUUAUAGGGACAAGAAAAGGCAUGACUGAAAGGCUGGGAGAGGCCAGGUGCCCCAGGGGCUCUCGAAGUCAGAAACAACUAUGAAAAGGUGGGGAAAUGGAGUUUGAAGGUUGAACAUAGCUGGAAGGAAUCCAAUAAUUCAAAGCCAUCAGCAUGGAAGAUAAUUAAAUGCUGACAGGUAUCUACCAAACAUGUAUGCACGUGUGUGUGUAGCUUAGAUUAAGUCUCUGAUUAUGAAGAAAAUGUGUAAACAAGAUUAUAGAUGUAGAGGAGGGGUAAGGAAGACUGGUCCAGUACACAAAAGGAAAGGGCUGGGAGAAAACAUUUCCUUCAACCUGAUGACCUGUAGAAAAGGCAGCAUUUGAGAUGGGAGUGCUUCUGGAACAAAUGGAACUCUUCUGGUGCUCUGAGGAAGAGGAAAUCAUAAUUAUAAUGAAAUUAAGAAAAGGGAGAUUUAGUUUGAAUAAAUGUAGGACCAUAAGACCUAAAAGUUACAAGGAUCCUUAGAGACUACUGUAAAGAUUAAAAUUAAUAUUCAAUAAUUAAGUAUUUUAUAAAGUUUUAUUAAUAAUUAAAGUAAAAGAGCUACCUAAACCCAGCCCAGUCGUGAGAGAAAAGAGAGUGAGUGGGAAGAGCUACAGAAAUUAUAAACAAUUAGGUGAGGACUUAACCAUGCACAAAGGGAAAAGCAUUCUGAGUAAUAUAGUUUUAGGAGUUCAAGAUUUUCUGACUAUAUAUUAUCUAGUCCAACCUUUUCAUUUCAUCGAUGAGGAAAUGGAGAUUAAAGGGAGGAUGAGCUCUUUGAGGUAACACAGAUUAUAGAUUUGAACCUUGAUCUUUUCAUAUCAAACCUGUGUUCUUCUAAUAAAACAUUCAAUAGCUCUUAAUCAGAACUGGAUAAAAAUGACAUUAUGGAAACCUUUCUGGGAGUAUGGUGGCUCGCAAGACUCACUCAUUGAAGCUGGAGCUUUUUAGAAUCGCAGUAUACUUAUAUUGAUGUACCCUUAGAAAUGCUAUCCUACUAGACACUAUCCUAUGACUAACUCUCUUCCAAAAUGAAGUGGAAAAUUGCCAGGAAUGAGCAUUUGAUCUAUUAUUUCCCAAAGAAGUCAAUAAAAAUUGAAGAAUCAAUACACACAUUGAUCCAUCACCCAUUGAUAGGAUGGGACCAGCCAGCAUUGCAUGAUACUAGAGACCACCUGCUUCAACAUCAUGGCUGGUGACAAUAGAGUCUAUAGUGAAUUAGGAUUAUUUGGGGGAACACUAAGGGCAAAUGAGGAAAUUUCCACAGAUGAUAGCCAGUAAAGGAUCUGAAGUUCAUGAGUUCAUGUUAUACAGGUUGAAUGAAUGAACAUGUUUAGCUGAAGAAGAAAUGACUGGGAGUACUGAAUGGCAAAGAGGAGGAAAAACAUGAUAGCUAUUUCCAAGGAUGUGAAAGGCUAUCAGGUGGAAGAGGGAUUCACCUUGUUUUUUUUGAGUCCAGUGAGCAGAACUUGCAAAGAGGCAAAUUUAGCCUUGUUAUGGGGGGGGCGGGGGAGAAGGGUUGGAGAGGGGAGACUUUCUAACAAAUAGUUAUCCUGAAGUAGAAAGCACUUCCUCAGGAAAUAGUGGGUUUACCCUUGUGAAAGUCAUAUGGGAGUAAGUAAUGAGGCUUCUUUUUCUAGUAUAAGUUGGACCAGUUGGGGAAAUCAUUUCCAACUUUGAAAUUGAAUGAUUCUAUGAAUGCACCAUUAUAUUUCCAUAUUUAUAUGAUCCUUUGAGCCACUCAUUUUCCAUUGCCUGUUUCCUCCUAUUUGGAAGCAACGGGCUUGAAGUGACUGACUAUUUAGAUGAAUUAAUCACAUGGACUUGGACAAAGAUCUCAGAGGAGAGAGAAACCCAUAGUUAGGUAGUGCAUACUCUAAAUUUAUUUCAAGGAGCUUGCUAUUGUGGAAGGGAAAGCAGAACCCAAAUCUCCCAGGGUAUGGCAAUAGAGUUUACUUACUUCAUUGAACGCUCCAUGGAGUUAUUGAGUUUGGCUAUGCAGUCAGUAAUCAGAGCAGAAGAAGAAAGUCAAAAUGAAAGCUAAAAAUGACAGAAUGUCUUGUCUUUCAGGUUAAGCACUCGAUAUGCCAUGCUUCAUCGAAGUCAAUCCAAUGACCAUUCCUGUACAGUCAAGGUCACAGAAGUGAUAACCAGAAAAGCAUUCCUAUUCUUAAUUAACUAUAUCAGUUCUUGAUGCCUAUUUAGGGAAAUAAGACCUGUUGCUGUGCUGAAGAAUGAUACACCACCAUUCCCUUUCCAAAUAUGUUGUCCUUUCUGUCCCACCUCAACUUAAUUGACUCUUACCUUCCUUUCAAUUCUGGUGCCAAGAAUACAAAUUCCACAGGCACCGGGUAUGAUGUUAUCUGAUUGUCCCUCUCAAAGGCUGACAUACACCAAGGCCAUACUGAGAGAAAUGAAAGGAAAUGCAAUCUUGACAUUAGGCUACCCCUCUACUUUUCCAUGGUGCCCCAUAGGCAGGAGUCGUACUACUUUACCAUCCCUUUAUCUGUUUCCCUUUCUGAAAUUUGCAAAAGGUAAUUAGCCAGACCCAAACUAUUUAACCUUUCAUAUUUCAGAACUUAUUGUGCUGGAAGCUUCCAAUACUCCUGGCAUUUUCAACUCAGAUGCCAAGUGGAUUAAAAAAAAAAGAAAAAAAAAACAACUCGUGCUAGUCAGGUUCUCAGUUUAGGACUGAGGCAACAUUAUUUUAUUGGAAAUUUUGAAUAAAUAACGAACCUGAUGGGGGGAGAAAGAUGGAAGAGGGGAGUUUCUUCUCGGUUAUAAUAUUAUAUAAGCUUGAAUGACAUUACAUCAUUGGUCUUAAUUCAUCCUUCCCUUACAAGGGCAAUAUUGUGCUUUUUGCUAGCUGUCAGAGAUAGUACAAAUGGCUAGGGAUCAACAAUAAUUGUGAAUAGAGUCUAGGAGGCUCACAGUUCUGACUUGUUUCAGGGGCUCAGCUUUUGGAAGACAGCCUAAAAAAAUAGCAAUUUACAGAAAAAAAAGUAGGUCCUGAGGCAUUUGGUCAGGGCAGACAUUAGUUCCAUUUAGGGCUUAAACCAGCCCACAGUUAAUUGUAGGUCUGUUGCAUUAGCUUGUAGGAGUAGUAAAAGCAUGUAAUUUGAUCUAAUCUGAUGGGCACAUGAACUGGGUACUUGGUGCCAAGUGAGACCAUGAAACAAAAGGACAAAUGUGUUUCUAGAAAAAAAAAGUAGUUUCAACUACAGCGCACAUGAAACUCAGGAGAAUUCUCCUGAGUCUUUGUCAUUUUGAAGAUGUUCAGCACAAGUAAAUAAAACAGAAAAAAUACUCAACAACGAGGGCAGAGUGGGUUAUAUUUAUUUUGUGGUUGAGUGCCAGGGUUGAAAAGCUUUGACUCUGGAAUGAGGGAGCGUGGUGGUCACUAGCUUUUUGUUUUAUCUGUAGAAGGAUCCUUUGUUUAAAAGCCCAGGUGUAUCUGGAGGACAUGGUGAGCUUAGCAGCCACUGAUGGUUCCCAGGUGAGGGACUAGCAAUGCAGUCCACCAGGUUGACAAUCUCCAUGUGAUCGUCAGCUCCUUUUCCUCUCUUAAUCCCAUAUAUCCAAAAAUAGUCAAAUGUUAUGAUUCCUUUAUCUAUAAUAUCUCCCCUAUAUGUCCUUUUCUAUUCACUCAAGAGAAUCAUUUUUCUAGUUCAGGUCCUCAUGGCUUCUUGCCUGAAUUAUUGCAAUAGCCUUCCAAUUGGUCUCUCUGCCUCAAGUCUCUCCCUAAUCUAGUCCAAUGCCAAAGUGGUUUUCCUAAAGUAGAGGUCUGACACUGUCUCUUCCACCAAAUCCAAUUAAGAAGAUUUGUGGCUGUAAGGGUGAUAAACCCUGGGUUUUCAAUGGACGCUCUAUCAUUUCAAGACUCACAAGUCCCCUACAUCUCCUAGGCAGCUACUAAAGUGAGGGAACACAGUGUUAGGCUGUACCUACAAGACCCCCCCCCCCCAAAUCAAAACUGGUCAGUUAACUCAAUUGAUGAAUUAAUGAACUAAACAAAAUAAUCAGUUCACUCAAUGGAUCACAAAACUGCUUUUUUGACUGUGUUCUUUUAAAUGAUCUGAAUCUUUGAAACUAAAUUAAAUUUAGCAUUAAAACUAAAACUAGGUCUUUCAUGAGAACUAUUUUAAAUUGUUUUAAUUUUGUUGAAACUGGGAAAAUAUAGAAAGAAGGUGAAAUUUUGAGUAAAUUAUGUUGGCACAAGUUUGUGAAACCAGGGGCAAAAAAUACAAAGCAAUUUAAGGAAUUAUGGGUGUUUGGAUAUAAUUUAGAAGACUGUUGUUAAUAAAGUUAAAAGUAAAACACAAAAGAAAGGAAGUAUAUUUGUCUAAUUAUUAAUCCUCUAUUUAGAGAAACAAUGAGGUUAUUGUACUUAUACUAUAAAUGCUUACAUAUAAAAUAGUGAUUGGAGAACAGGAAUUGAUCUUUGUGGGUCCUAUCAUAGUGGAUGUCUACUUUAACUUUUUAACUUGUAAUUUCAUUUUUUUAACAAGCCUGAUUGUGAUGGCACCAUCAUUUAUAACAUAACUGGUAAUUUCAUCACUGUUUCCAGUUAUGCAUGUAAUGCUCUAUGUUAAGGAAAAGCAGGUAAGGAAACCAGAAGAGUUAUAAUUUUGUCUUUAGAAAUAUUUAAAAUUUCUAUAAUAGAGAAUAAAAAUGUGAUAAUAUUGGAAGUAUAGAGGAAGCUAAAUGGUGCAGUGGAGAGAAUGCUGGGCCUGGAGUCAGGAAUUUUUGAAAUCAAAUUUAGCUUGAGAUAUUAGCUAUGUGUCCCUGGGCAAAUCAUAUAAUUUAUAUCUGCCUCAGUUAAUCUCAUCUGUAAAGUGGGGAUAUUAAUAACACCUAGUAGGGCUACUAUGAGGAUACAAUCAGAUAUUUGAAAAGUAUUUUGCAAACUUCAAAGUGCUAGGUAAUUCCAGUUAUUAUUAUUGAUGUUACUAUUAAUAGAAUUUUUAUAAUUGUUAUUAUUUGGAUGAAUCUAUGAUACUAAUCCUUUCAUUUUAUAGAAUCACAGAAUUUUAUUGUUAUAAGUUGAUGUUGAUAUUAAUUCCAAAUGUUGCUUGUCUCCAAUGCAGAAAUCCUUUCUGUAACAUUCUAAUGUUAGUUGUCAUUUUAAUCAAGUCUACAAACAUUUAUGAAGUACCUACUGUGUCCUAAACUCUAAAGAUAGCCAUCCUUGAAAAUAAAAUAUGAAGAAAGGAAGAAAGGAAAAAAGUUCUACAAAACGAGACAACAUAUCAAAAGCAUCUAACAUUAUAUGCAGUAUCCCACAUCUAUCAUCCUGUUUCUUACAUAAAGGGAGGGGAUGUGUGACUCUGGUGCCCCAUUUUGCAAAGGGAGGGUAGAGAAUAAAGAAUUUGAUUUUAUCUAAAAUUUUCCACAA